UUCAUCUCAUCUUCGAAGAACUGAAGCUCUCAUUUCUUCAUCUCCCUUUCAUCUCAGAACCUCUUCGGAGAAUCAACACUAUUAUCAGCAGCACCAUCAACAACAUCAUCUUCUCACGAUUUCAUUCUCUUUCUCUCUACCGAAGACUCGGAAUCUUCCAACAGAGGAGGUACUAGGAUAAGUAGUCCAAAACAAGCAAUAAGAAAGACUCAUGGAUAGAAAAGAAGGGUUGGUACGUGUGUAUCAUCAUUGGUUAUUGUGAGUGAAUACAUGGUGAAGCUAUAAAAAGAGCUAAUGGUGUUCACUUUUCUGAAGAGAAACUCUGUAAGUGGCUUGUGCAACUCCUAAUGGAUCUGGAUUACUUGCACAGAAAUCAUGUUCUUCAUCGUGAUGUCAAAUGCUCGAAUAUAUUCUUGACGAAGGAUCAGGACAUACGUCUAGGUGAUUUUGGAUUGGCCAAAAUGUUGACUUCUGAUGACCUAGCCUCUUCUGUGAGUAACACGGCCCUAUAAAAAGUUUUCUUGAUUAGUUUAAGUUCAGUAUUUUGCUUGAUUGUUAACAAUGAGGGCAAUUUGUCUCACAAUGCAAGUCGUGGGAACUCCCAGCUAUAUGUUCCCUGAGCUUCUUGCUGAUAUUCUUUACUGUUCAAAGUCAGAUAUUUGGUCUUUAGGUUACUCAUAGAAAGAAUAAGGAUGUCAUCUCCUUCUAUUCGAUGCCUGAAUAUAAGACAGUUGGAAGUUCGGGAGGGAGUUCAAAUGGCUGGGAUGUCAAAUACUAUGAGGUUCAAAGGGAUCAUUUUACACUACUACGAUGGGUUGAUGGAUGCAAUGUGUCUAAUGGUGUUUGACAUCCGGUAUCGUACAACUAGAAACCACGCUUACUCAAAAAUAACGAAGGAUUUCUAUCACUGGUCUGGAAACAAGCCAAAGAUAUUGGAAUGAUGGCUUCAAUUUCCCUGUAAUAAAGAAAGUCAAGCAACUCCCUUAAGCACUAUAAGUAUUUACACAGAUUGACGUUGCUGAAACGUAUGUCAUUUCCCAUUUGCAUAUCUGACUGAAGAAAAUGGGUUGACGGAUGAAGUGGUACCAAAAGCACAGAUUGAGUCUUUGAAUGCAUUUUGCUCCGUGAAGGUAAACUUGUUGUUCACAAUCGAUGUGGCUGAAGAGGGGCUACAUACACAUAAUUGCUCUUGUGUUGUAUGAUUUGAUUUACCUAAAACAGUUUUGUAAUUGUGUUCAGUUUCGUGGUCGAUCUCGACAGAGCGAUUCACAAUGACUUGAUGCUUGACAGGUAAUAUUGUAACUCAUGUAUCUUGCAAAAAUCUUAAAAUUCCCUUUAAACAACAACCUGUCACCUUCCUCACUGUAGAGUAUGAUAACCGAACUUGCAUUUUCAUCAACUGUCACUUUGCCAUCAACCUGAGUGGUGCUCUUACUGGCAUUGCUGCAAAUCUAAACAGAUAUCACAAAAUCCAGCAUAAUUUAGGAUUUGGCUGACUUCAGCUGGAUUACAAGAUGAUCCCCAAAUUCUGGUGCAGAUUCAAUGUGUUUACAGAACACCAAUUAUAUGCGCAAGCUUUUUAUGUAUCAUUGCUUUUGGAAGGAGGAUUAGAGACAAUGGAAACUUAUACAGUUCCCCAUAUUCAUCAUUUCCACAGAUUUUUCCUGCUUGUACUUAUACAACAUAUUAUUUCUUUAUUAGUUUUUGACUCAAUCUUUAUAAGCAUACUGGUUAUAUGAUAGGAAGAAUUUGUGAUGCUUCGUUCGCAGGAUGAUUGAAUGAUGCUGUUUUAUGAGAUCAGAAAUUAAGGUUGGAGAACAAAGCAGCAGCCAUUAGGUCCUUUAGCAGCUGCAAUAUUUGUAAGUUUAUGUAGUAUCUCCUUAUAGUGAUUUAAGUUGGAAGAACUUAGGAAUUUCGUAACUUUCCAUGAACUGAACUUAGGAACCAAGUAUGUUUCUAAUGUGUACACUAGUUUGCUGUGAUACUUGGAUUACAUUUGUAUCAAAUAUUCAUACUUUUUGUUAACAUCAAUUGAAGAAUCCAUUUUUCAUAAUA